rnacentral:misc_RNA from 1 species
GUAGGUGAACCUGCGGAAGGAUCAUUAUCGAGUUAGGGUCUCUCAGGCCCGACCUCCAACCCUGUGUCUACUUAACCAAUGUUGCUUCGGCGAGCCCGCCCCCUCCGGGGGCCGCCGGAGGGUCUCUAACCCUCUGGCCCGCUGCUCGUCGGUGGCCCUAUCAUUAAACUCUUGUUUAAACGUGUCGUCUGAAGUACAAAACAAAAUAAAAGCAAAACUUUCAACAACGGAUCUCUUGGUUCUGGCAUCG